UACGUAGGGUGCAAGCGUUGUCCGGAUUUAUUGGGCGUAAAGAGCUCGUAGGCGGUUAGUCACGUCGGAUGUGAAAACCCGGGGCUUAACUCCGGGCCUGCAUUCGAUACGGGCUGACUAGAGUGUUGUAGGGGAGACUGGAACUCCUGGUGUAGCGGUGAAAUGCGCAGAUAUCAGGAAGAACACCGGUGGCGAAGGCGGGUCUCUGGGCAACUACUGACGCUGAGGAGCGAAAGCGUGGGGAGCGAAC
rnacentral:rRNA from 1 species